rnacentral:rRNA from 1 species
UACGUAGGGUGCGAGCGUUGUCCGGAUUUAUUGGGCGUAAAGAGCUCGUAGGCGGUUUGUCGCGUCGAAUGUGAAAACCCGGGGCUCAACCCCGGGCCUGCAUUCGAUACGGGCAGACUAGAGUUCGGUAGGGGAGUCUGGAAUUCCUGGUGUAGCGGUGAAAUGCGCAGAUAUCAGGAGGAACACCGGUGGCGAAGGCGGGUCUCUGGGCCGAUACUGACGCUGAGGAGCGAAAGCGUGGGGAGCGAACAGG